rfam:Daphnia pulex DAPPTscaffold_18_Cont1143, whole genome shotgun sequence.
ACCAGGUUGGCCGAGUGGUUUAAGGCGCCAGACUUAAGAUCUGGUCUCCGUAUGGAGGCGUGGGUUCGAACCCCACACCUGGUA